rnacentral:rRNA from 1 species
GACGAACGCUGGCGGCGUGCUUAACACAUGCAAGUCGAACGGAAAGGCCCUGCUUGCAGGGUGCUCGAGUGGCGAACGGGUGAGUAACACGUGGGUGAUCUGCCCCUUACUUUGGGAUAAGCCUGGGAAACUGGGUCUAAUACUGGAUAGGACCAUGCUUUAGGUGGUGUGGUGGAAAGAUUAGUUUCGGUAAGGGAUGAGCUCGCGGCCUAUCAGCUUGUUGGUGGGGUAAUGGCCUACCAAGGCGUCGACGGGUAGCCGGCCUGAGAGGGUGGACGGCCACAUUGGGACUGAGAUACGGCCCAGACUCCUACGGGAGGCAGCAGUGGGGAAUAGUGCACAAUGGGCGCAAGCCUGAUGCAGCGACGCCGCGUGGGGGAUGACGGCCUUCGGGUUGUAAACUCCUUUCAGCCAUGACGAAGCCCUUGUGGUGACGGUAGUGGUAGAAGAAGCACCGGCUAACUACGUG